rnacentral:rRNA from 1 species
GAUAUUGCACAAUGGAGGAAACUCUGAUGCAGCGACGCCGCGUGAGUGAAGAAGUAUUUCGGUAUGUAAAGCUCUAUCAGCAGGGAAGAAAGGCUCGCAAGAGAGAUGACGGUACCUGACUAAGAAGCCCCGGCUAACUACGUGCCAGCAGCCGCGGUAAUACGUAGGGGGCAAGCGUUAUCCGGAUUUACUGGGUGUAAAGGGAGCGCAGACGGUUAUGCAAGUCUGAAGUGAAACCCCACGGCUCAACCGUGGGCUUGCUUUGGAAACUGUAUAACUAGAGUACUGGAGAGGUAAGCGGAAUUCCUAGUGUAGCGGUGAAAUGCGUAGAUAUUAGGAGGAACAUCGGUGGCGAAGGCGGCUUACUGGACAGCAACUGACGUUGAGGCUCGAAGGCGUGGGGAGCAAAC